rnacentral:rRNA from 1 species
GACGAACGCUGGCGGCGUGCUUAACACAUGCCAGUCGAACGGAAAGGCCCUGCUUUUGUGGGGUGCUCGAGUGGCGAACGGGUGAGUAACACGUGAGUAACCUGCCCUUGACUUUGGGAUAACUUCAGGAAACUGGGGCUAAUACCGGAUAGGAGCUCCUGCUGCAUGGUGGGGGUUGGAAAGUUUCGGCGGUUGGGGAUGGACUCGCGGCUUAUCAGCUUGUUGGUGGGGUAGUGGCUUACCAAGGCUUUGACGGGUAGCCGGCCUGAGAGGGUGACCGGCCAAAUUGGGACUGAGCUACGGCCCAGACUCCUACGGGAGGCAGCAGUGGGGAAUAUUGCACAAUGGGCGGAAGCCUGAUGCAGCAACGCCGCGUGCGGGAUGACGGCCUUCGGGUUGUAAACCGCUUUCGCCUGUGACGAAGCGUGAGUGACGGUAAUGGGUAAAGAAGCACCGGCUAACUACGUG